GAUGAACGCUGGCGGCGUGCUUAACACAUGCAAGUCGAACGAUGAAGCCCAGCUUGCUUGGUGGGUUAGUGGCGAACUGGUGAGUAACACGUGAGUAACCUGCCCUUAACUCUGGGAUAAGCCUUGUAAACUGGGUCUAAUACCGGAUAGGAGCGUCCACCGCAUGGUGGGUGUUGGAAAGAUUUAUCGGUUUUGGAUGGACUCGCGGCCUAUCAGCUUGUUGGUGAGGUAAUGGCUCACCAAGGCGACGACGGGUAGCCGGCCUGAGAGGGUGACCGGCCACACUGGGACUGAGACACGGCCCAGACUCCUACGGGAGGCAGCAGUGGGGAAUAUUGCACAAUGGGCGCAAGCCUGAUGCAGCGACGCCGCGUGAGGGAUGACGGCCUUCGGGUUGUAAACCUCUUUCAGUAGGGAAGAAGCGAAAGUGACGGUACCUGAAGAAGAAGCACCGGCUAACUACGUG
rnacentral:rRNA from 1 species